rnacentral:rRNA from 1 species
UGGGGAAUAUUGGACAAUGGGGGAAACCCUGAUCCAGCAAUGCCGCGUGAGUGAAGAAGGCCUUAGGGUUGUAAAGCUCUUUCGCCCGCGAAGAUAAUGACGGUAGCGGGAGAAGAAGCCCCGGCUAACUCCGUGCCAGCAGCCGCGGUAAUACGGAGGGGGCUAGCGUUGUUCGGAAUUACUGGGCGUAAAGCGUACGUAGGCGGAUGCGCAAGUUGGGGGUGAAAUCCCGGGGCUUAACCUCGGAAUUGCCCUCAAAACUGCACGUCUUGAGACCGAGAAAGGUAAGGGGAAUUCCUAGUGUAGAGGUGAAAUUCGUAGAUAUUAGGAAGAACACCAGUGGCGAAGGCGCCUUACUGGCUCGGUACUGACGCUGAGGUACGAAAGCGUGGGGAGCAAACA